AUUCCGAUACCACUACCAUCGUUAUUAUCGAGGGUGUGACGGAGAAGGAUAGUGUGUGCUAGCGAUUGGAAAUGCCAGUCUAAGCGUUUAGGGAGUUACAGUAGGCAAAUCCGCUGUAACAAUUCUGAGGCGUGAUGGGGAAGGUCAUUAAGACCGAAGUACAUGAUUCCAUGCUUCCAAGAAAAGCAUCUAGAGAGAGAAGUAGUGCCCGUACCGCAAACCGACACAGGUAGAUGAGGAGAGAAUCCUAAGGCCGGCGGAAGAAUUGCAGUUAAGGAACUAGGCAAAUUGACCCCGUAAGUUCGCGAGAAGGGGUGCCUGUGAGAGCAGGCCGCAGAGAAUAGGCCCAAGCAACUGUUUAGCAAAAACACAGGUCUCUGCUAAAGCGUAAGCUGAUGUAUAGGGGCUGACGCCUGCCCGGUGCUGGAAGGUUAAGGGGAACACUUAGCGCAAGCGAAGGUGUGAACUUAAGCCCCAGUAAACGGCGGCCGUAGCUAUAACGGUCCUAAGGUAGCGAAAUUCCUUGUCAGGUAAGUUCUGACCCGCACGAAUGGCGUAAUGACUUGGGCACUGUCUCAACUGCAAAUCCGGCGAAGUUGUAGUGCGAGUGAAGAUGCUCGCUACCCGCGAUUGGACGGAAAGACCCCGUAGAGCUUUACUGUAGCUUAGCAUUGAAUUCCGGUAUUGUCUGUACAGGAUAGGUGGGAGACUGGGAAACUAGGGCGUCAGCCUUAGUGGAGUCAACCUUGGGAUACCACCCUGACAGUACUGGGGUUCUAACAGGACGCCAUGAAGCUGGUGACUGGACAUUGUUAGGUGGGCAGUUUGACUGGGGCGGUCGCCUCCUAAAAAGUAACGGAGGCGCCCAAAGGUUCCCUCAGAACGGUCGGAAAUCGUUCGUAGAGUGCAAAGGCAGAAGGGAGCCUGACUGCGAGACCCACAAGUCGAGCAGGGACGAAAGUCGGGCUUAGUGAUCCGGUGGUACCUCGUGGGAGGGCCAUCGCUCAACGGAUAAAAGCUACCUCGGGGAUAACAGGCUGAUCUCCCCCAAGAGUCCACAUCGACGGGGAGGUUUGGCACCUCGAUGUCGGCUCGUCGCAUCCUGGGGCUGUAGUAGGUCCCAAGGGUUGGGCUGUUCGCCCAUUAAAGCGGCACGCGAGCUGGGUUCAGAACGUCGUGAGACAGUUCGGUCCCUAUCCGUCGCGGGCGUAGGAAAUUUGAGAGGAGCUGUCCUUAGUACGAGAGGACCGGGAUGGACUGACCUCUGGUGCACCAGUUGUUCUGCCAAGAGCAUGGCUGGGUAGCUAAGUCGGGAAGGGAUAAACGCUGAAAGCAUCUAAGCGUGAAGCCCCCCUCAAGAUGAGAUUUCCCAUAGCAUAAGCUAGUAAGACCCCUUGAAGAACACAAGGUUGAUAGGUCAGAGGUGGAAGUGCGGUAACGUAUGUAGCUGACUGAUACUAAUAGGUCGAGGGCUUGACC
rnacentral:rRNA from 1 species